UACGAAGGGUGCAAGCGUUACUCGGAAUUACUGGGCGUAAAGCGUGCGUAGGUGGUUCGUUAAGUCUGAUGUGAAAGCCCUGGGCUCAACUUGGGAAUGGCAUUGGAAACUGGCGACCUAGAGUGCGGUAGAGGGUAGUGGAAUUCCCGGUGUAGCAGUGAAAUGCGUAGAGAUCGGGAGGAACACCAGUGGCGAAGGCGACUACCUGGCCUGUUCUUGACGCUGAGGCGCGAAAGCUAGGGGAGCAAACCGG
rnacentral:rRNA from 1 species